UGUGGGAGCUGGCUUGCCAGCGAUGGCGGUGGGUCAGUUAGUAAAUCUUUGUCUGACAGGUCGCUAUCGCUGGCAAGCCAGCUCCCACA
rnacentral:misc_RNA from 1 species